UAGGGAAUAUUAGUAAUGGGCGAAAGCCUGAACUAGCAACACCGCGUGUGCGAAGAAGGCCUUCGGGUUGUAAAGCACUUUUUGAGAGGAUGAGGAAGGACGGUACUCUCAGAAUAAGUCUCGGCUAACUACGUGCCAGCAGCCGCGGUAACACGUAGGAGGCAAACGUUAUCCGGAUUUACUGGGCGUAAAGCGCGUGUAGGUGGUACUGUAAGUAGGGCGUGAAAGCUCCUGGCUCAACUGGGAGAGGCCGUUCUAAACUACAGAACUAGAGGAUGGUAGAGGGAGGUGGAAUUCCAGGUGUAGCGGUGGAAUGCGCAGAUAUCUGGAGGAACACCGGUGGCGAAGGCGGCCUCCUGGACCAUUCCUGACACUCAGACGCGAAAGCUAGGGUAGCAAACG
rnacentral:rRNA from 1 species